GGUAGAGGAGCGUUCUGUAAGCCUGUGAAGGUGAGUUGAGAAGCUUGCUGGAGGUAUCAGAAGUGCGAAUGCUGACAUGAGUAACGACAAUGGGUGUGAAAAACACCCACGCCGAAAGACCAAGGGUUCCUGCGCAACGUUAAUCGACGCAGGGUUAGUCGGUUCCUAAGGCGAGGCUGAAAAGCGUAGUCGAUGGGAAACAGGUUAAUAUUCCUGUACUUCUGGUUACUGCGAUGGAGGGACGGAGAAGGCUAGGCCAGCUUGGCGUUGGUUGUCCAAGUUUAAGGUGGUAGGCUGAAAUCUUAGGUAAAUCCGGGGUUUCAAGGCCGAGAGCUGAUGACGAGUCGUCUUUUAGAUGACGAAGUGGUUGAUGCCAUGCUUCCAAGAAAAGCUUCUAAGCUUCAGGUAACCAGGAACCGUACCCCAAACCGACACAGGUGGUCGGGUAGAGAAUACCAAGGCGCUUGAGAGAACUCGGGUGAAGGAACUAGGCAAAAUGGCACCGUAACUUCGGGAGAAGGUGCGCCGGCUAGGGUGAAGGAUUUACUCCGUAAGCUCUGGCUGGUCGAAGAUACCAGGCCGCUGCGACUGUUUAUUAAAAACACAGCACUCUGCAAACACGAAAGUGGACGUAUAGGGUGUGACGCCUGCCCGGUGCCGGAAGGUUAAUUGAUGGGGUUAGCGCAAGCGAAGCUCUUGAUCGAAGCCCCGGUAAACGGCGGCCGUAACUAUAACGGUCCUAAGGUAGCGAAAUUCCUUGUCGGGUAAGUUCCGACCUGCACGAAUGGCGUAACGAUGGCGGCGCUGUCUCCACCCGAGACUCAGUGAAAUUGAAAUCGCUGUGAAGAUGCAGUGUAUCCGCGGCUAGACGGAAAGACCCCGUGAACCUUUACUGUAGCUUUGCACUGGACUUUGAGCCUGCUUGUGUAGGAUAGGUGGGAGGCUUUGAAGCGUGGACGCCAGUUCGCGUGGAGCCAUCCUUGAAAUACCACCCUGGCAUGCUUGAGGUUCUAACUCUGGUCCGUAAUCCGGAUCGAGGACAGUGUAUGGU
rnacentral:rRNA from 1 species